GUCCUUUAGGUAAUUAUAAUUUAAGGUCUAACCUGCCCAUUGAUAAGUUAAAAGGCCGCAGUAAUUUGACUGUGCAAAGGUAGCAUAAUCAUUAGUUUUUUAAUUAAAAGCUUGUAUGAAUGGUUGGACGAGAUAAAAUCUGUCUCUUUAUAAAAAAUAGAAUUUAAUUUUUAAGUUAAAAAGCUUAAAUUUAUAUAAAAGACGAGAAGACCCUAUAGAUCUUUAUAUAAUUUUUUUUUGUAUUAAUAAAGAAAAUUUAAUUUAUUAAAAAAAUUUAUAUUUUAUUGGGGUAAUAAAAAGAUUAAUUAAAUUCUUUUAUAAAAAACAAUAAUUAUUGAUUAUAUGAUCCAUUAUUAAUGAUUAUAAGAUUAAGUUACCUUAGGGAUAACAGCGUAAUUUUUUUAGAGAGUUCUUAUCAAUAAAAAAGUUUGCGA
rnacentral:rRNA from 1 species